AGAGUUUGAUCCUGGCUCAGGAUGAACGCUGGCGGCGUGCCUAAUACAUGCAAGUCGAACGGACCUUCGGGUCAGUGGCGACCGGGUGAGUAACACGUAGUUGACCUGCCCUUCGACGGGGGAUAACAGUCCGAAAGGAUUGCUAAUACCGCAUACAUUUACGGGGAUUAGAAGCCUGUAAAGAAACUUCCGGGGUCGAAGGAGGGGGCUGCGGCCCAUCAGGUAGUUGGUGAGGUAACGGCUCACCAAGCCGACGACGGGUAGGGGGCCUGAGAGGGUGACCCCCCACACUGGGACAGACAUACGGCCCAGACUCCUACGGGAGGCAGCAGUAAGGGAUAUUGCGCAAUGGGCGAAAGCCUGACGCAGCAACGCCGCGUGGAGGAAGAAGGUCUUCGGAUUGUAAACUCCUUUUUAGUUGGGACGAGCAAGGACGGUACCAACAGAAUAAGCCUCGGCUAACUACGUGCCAGCAGCCGCGGUAAAACGUAGGAGGCGAGCGUUAUCCGGAUUUACUGGGCUUAAAGGGUGUGCAGGCGGAUGAUUAAGUCGUGCAUGAAAGCCGUGCGCUCAACGCGCGGAGGCUGUGCGAUACUGGUCGUCUAGGGUAUGCGAGAGGGAUGCGGAAUUCCGGGUGUAGUGGUGAAAUGCGUAGAUAUCCGGAAGAACACCAGAGGCGAAGGCGGCAUCCUGGCGCAUUACUGACGCUGAGACACGACAGCAUGGGGAGCGAACGGGAUUAGAAACCCCGGUAGUCCAUGCCGUAAACGAUGGAUGCGAGGCGUGGGGCGGAGAAGUCCGUUCCGUGUCGCAGGGAAACCGGUAAGCAUCCCGCCUGGGGAGUACGGUCGCAAGGCUAAAACUCAAAGGAAUUGACGGGGGCCCGCACAAGCAGCGGAGCGUGUGGUUUAAUUCGAGCCUACACGAAGAACCUUACCUGGGUUUGACAUGCAAUUCGCAAGAACAGGAAACUGUUCCGGAAUGGGUUGCACUGGUGCUGCAUGGCUGUCGUCAGCUCGUGCCGUGACGUGUAGGGUUAAGUCCUGAAACGAGCGCAACCCUCGGCGUUAGUUAGAUAGUCUAACGCAACUGCCCGUGACAAGCGGGAGGAAGGUGGGGAUGACGUCAAGUCAGCAUGACCUGUAUAUCCAGGGCUACACACACGCUACAAUGGUCGGUACAAUAGGUAGCCAAGUCGCAAGACGGAGCCAAUCCAAUCAAAGCCGGCCUCAGUUCAGAUUGUGGGCUGAAACUCGCCCGCAUGAAGUCGGAGUUGCUAGUAACCGCGCGUCAGCAUAGUGCGGUGAGUACGUUCCCGGGCCUUGUACACACCGCCCGUCACGUUAUGGGAGCUGGUCACGCCUGAAGUCGGUCAGCCAACCGUAAGGAGGCAGCCGCCCAAGGCAGGAUCGGUGACUGGGACGAAGUCG
rnacentral:rRNA from 1 species